rnacentral:rRNA from 1 species
GUGUCAGCAGCCGCGGUAAUACGUAGGGUGCGAGCGUUAAUCGGAAUUACUGGGCGUAAAGCGUGCGCAGGCGGUUUCGUAAGCUGGAGGUGAAAUCCCCGGGCUUAACCUGGGAAUGGCCUUCAGGACUGCGAGGCUAGAGUGCGGCAGAGGGAGGUGGAAUUCCACGUGUAGCAGUGAAAUGCGUAGAGAUGUGGAGGAACACCGAUGGCGAAGGCAGCCUCCUGGGCCAGCACUGACGCUCAUGCACGAAAGCGUGGGGAGCAAACAGGAUUAGAUACCCCGGUAGUCC